UACGUAGGUGGCAAGCGUUGUCCGGAAUCAUUGGGCGUAAAGGGCGCGUAGGUGGCGGGACAAGCGUGCGGUGAAAGCUCGGGGCUCAACCCCGAGUCGGCCGUGCGAACUGUUUUGCUGGAGCACUGUAGAGGCAGGCGGAAUUCCGGGUGUAGCGGUGGAAUGCGUAGAGAUCCGGAAGAACACCGGUGGCGAAGGCGGCCUGCUGGGCAGUUGCUGACACUGAGGCGCGACAGCGUGGGGAGCAAACAGG
rnacentral:rRNA from 1 species